GACGUAGGGCGCGAGCGUUGUCCGGAUUUAUUGGGCGUAAAGAGCUCGUAGGCGGCUCGUUGCGUCAACCGUGAAAACCCGCAGCUUAACUGCGGGACUGCAGUCGAUACGGGCAGGCUAGAGUUCGGUAGGGGAGACUGGAAUUCCUGGUGUAGCGGUGAAAUGCGCAGAUAUCAGGAGGAACACCGGUGGCGAAGGCGGGUCUCUGGGCCGAUACUGACGCUGAGGAGCGAAAGCGUGGGGAGCGAACAGGAUUAGA
rnacentral:rRNA from 1 species